GUGUCCUUUUUAUCAGCUUUUGUCCACUGUUAUCUACAAAACACGAGCGAAAUCGGGCCAAGGUAUUCCCACAUUGUGCUCUCGGGUGUAACAUGCACUGCCAUAUCGUUCGGGAACUUUGCCGCAAUAUUGUUUGACACAUAUAUCAUGGACGGUCUUCCGUAUGUACAG